AUGUUCCACCGAUCAAUAAGGUGUGUUCGUAUUGUUUCCUUUCUUCCAACCCAACCCCCAAAUUCGUUCCCUCUUCGUACUCUCACGGUAGCCUCUUUCCGUUCAAUCGCCACCAUCGUCAACUCUCAUCGCCGCCGCACGACUCGUCCCCCUCUUCACCAAGGUCCGUCUGUAUUUCUGGAAUUAUUCUUAACAACAUAA